rnacentral:rRNA from 1 species
AUUGAACGCUGGCGGCAGGCCUAACACAUGCAAGUCGAACGAGUGGCGGACGGGUGAGUAAUGUCUGGGAAACUGCCUGAUGGAGGGGGAUAACUACUGGAAACGGUAGCUAAUACCGCAUACCAUCAGAUGUGCCCAUAUGGGAUUAGCUUGUGGGUAGGGUAACGGCUAACCAAGGCGACGAUCCCUCGCUGGUCUGUGAGGAGGACCGGCCACACUGGAACGGAGACGCGGUCCAGACUACUGCGGGAGGCAUCAGUGUGGAAUAUUGCGCAAUGGGCGCAAGCCUGAUGCAGCCAUGCCGCGUGUAUUAAGAAGGCCUUCGGGUUGUAAAGUACUUUCAUCGGUGAGGCGUUACCCGCAGAAGAAGCACCGGCUAACUCCGUGCCAGCAGCCGCGGUAAUAC